CAUGACAACAGAACCCACAACAACCAUGACUUUUAUCACCAUCUUCAUCUGGACACUUGCCUUCUGCUUUCAAAAAUCCAGAGGACAGUACACUGUGACUCAGACUCCUACAGUGAAAGCUGUUCUCCCAGGACAGACAGUCUCUCUGAACUGUAAAACCAGCAGUAAUGUGCAUGGUGGUUACUUUCUAGCCUGGUAUCAACAGAAACCUGGAGGAGCUCCUAAACUCCUUAUUUACUAUGCUACAACACUUCAGUCUGGGACUCCAUCUAGAUUCAGUGGUAGUGGAUCUGGUAGUGACUUCACACUGACCAUCAGUGAAGUCCAGACUGAAGAUACAGGAGAUUACUACUGUCAGAGUUCCUACUGCCCUAGUAGCUGUGUGUUCACACAGUGAUACAGAGCCGUACAAAAACAUCCCUCAGUCAGACUGCACAGUGACUGUACUGCUACAGCUGGGACCUACUGCAGGUGCUGAGAGGAGGAGAUGAUCCAGUACAAUGACACAGUGUGUAGUAGAGCUGAACAACAAUAGAGUCAAACUAGAGCUGUGUCUAGAAGACCUUAGAUCAUAACUGAUCACUAAAUGUUUCUCCUGAACAUUAACUACAUGUUGACUCUGUUGAGUAACUCAAGGAAAACCAUCAACCAAUCUGGAUUAGAGAUGAUG